UUAAAGGUGCGUUUGCACCGCUGUGGGAUGGGCUUACGCUGUAUUAGCUUGUUGGUGAGGUAACGGCCCACCAAGGCGAUGAUACAUAGCCGGUCUGAGAGGAUGAACGGCCACAUUGGGACUGAGACACGGCCCAGACUCCUACGGGAGGCAGCAGUAAGGAAUUUUCGGCAAUGGACGAAAGUCUGACCGAGCAACGCCGCGUGAGUGAUGAAGGCCUUCGGGUCGUAAAGCUCUGUGGUAAAGGAAGAACACCACGGACAGGAAAUGGUUCGUGGCUGACGGUACUUUACUAGAAAGUCACGGCUUACUACGUGCC
rnacentral:rRNA from 1 species